UAAAUGUCACCUUUCUGCGAAGG
rnacentral:miRNA from 8 species